rnacentral:rRNA from 1 species
ACGCUCGACACCUACGGAGGCAGCAGUGAGGAAUAUUGGUCAAUGGGCGCUAGCCUGAACCAGCCAAGUAGCGUGAAGGAUGAAGGCUCUAUGGGUCGUAAACUUCUUUUAUAUAAGAAUAAAGUGCAGUAUGUAUACUGUUUUGUAUGUAUUAUAUGAAUAAGGAUCGGCUAACUCCGUGCCGGCAGCCGCGGUAAUCUGAGCGGGCUGGCAAGGC